rnacentral:rRNA from 1 species
UACGUAGGGCGCAAGCGUUGUCCGGAAUUAUUGGGCGUAAAGAGCUCGUAGGCGGUUUGUCGCGUCUGCUGUGAAAUCCCGAGGCUCAACCUCGGGCCUGCAGUGGGUACGGGCAGACUAGAGUGCGGUAGGGGAGAUUGGAAUUCCUGGUGUAGCGGUGGAAUGCGCAGAUAUCAGGAGGAACACCGAUGGCGAAGGCAGAUCUCUGGGCCGUAACUGACGCUGAGGAGCGAAAGCGUGGGGAGCGAACAGG